AACGAACGCUGGCGGCAUGCCUAACACAUGCAAGUCGAACGAGACCUUCGGGUCUAGUGGCGCACGGGUGCGUAACGCGUGGGAAUCUACCCUUGGGUUCGGAAUAACAGUUAGAAAUGACUGCUAAUACCGGAUGAUGACGUAAGUCCAAAGAUUUAUCGCCCAAGGAUGAGCCCGCGUAAGAUUAGCUUGUUGGUGGGGUAAUGGCCUACCAAGGCGACGAUCUUUAGCUGGUCUGAGAGGAUGAUCAGCCACACUGGGACUGAGACACGGCCCAGACUCCUCCGGGAGGAAGCAGUGGGGAAUAUUGGACAAUGGGCGAAAGCCUGAUCCAGCAAUGCCGCGUGAGUGAUGAAGGCCUUAGGGUUGUAAAGCUCUUUUACCAGGGAUGAUAAUGACAGUACCUGGAGAAUAAGCUCCGGCUAACUCCGUGCCAGCCGCCGCAGUAA
rnacentral:rRNA from 1 species